AACUACCUGCAUCAGAAAAGACACUGAAAAAGUUGCGAGCCACGAGAAAAUCAUUCAUUAAAACAAGCAAUUUUCCAUACUGACUACUUAAAAUGGCGGAAGUAAACAAAUUUGCUUCACUCGGCAGUACGCAGCUUCACCCGAGUUAGGCAUCUAGCGCCUUUGGCGCUUCUAUAUCAUUGUGUAUCACUUGAUCAAUUCGGAAAGAGGUUCAUUAAGCAUUCAACGGGUGUUCACUCGUGCGAUCAAGUAGCCAUUGAAUCUCAGAGGUAGAAGCAAACUAAAUCACAUUUAAAAAAAUUUAUUCUAUAAUCAAAAGUCAAGAAUAAAAAUAAUUGCAAUUUUCUUUAUUUUCAUUUAGGUACUUUACCUUUAAAUAUUUUGACAAUCAGAGUUGAAUCGGGAACGUCAAACAAAUCGAUGUGAAAGAAGGUGAAUAACAGAGCAUCAACAGAGAGGCUGAUGAAAUGGCUUUGCAUAAGGUUGCAAAGGAAGGAGAUUUAGCUCUCUUGAAAAGUGAAAUUGAAGAUCUCAGAGAUAAUGUUGCUGAAGAAGAAGAUAUUAGUAAAGUGCUUGGUGUAACUGAUGCACAUCAUUUGACUCCUCUUCACUAUGCUGUCAAAUAUCAGCAUGUGGAUAUUGUCAGAAUCCUCUUGAGAAAUGGAGCAGAUGUAAAUGUAAAAGGUGAAAAUGGAACAACUUGUCUUCACUUUGGUGCAAGAUAUUUUGACUUAGAGGAUCCAAAAGCAGGUGAAGAGAUUCUUGACCUACUGCUGGCAGCUAAAGGUGUCAAUGUCAAUGCUGCAGAUAAUGACAUGGCAACUCCGUUGCAUUAUGCUUGUCUUAAGAACAACUACAAAGCUGUCCGAAAGUUUCUAAAUGCAAAAAACAUCUAUUUAGAGUCAAGAGAUAGAUGGGAAUCGACACCAUUACAAGCAGCUUGCUCUGUGGGCUCUAUUGCUAUUGUGAAACGGUUGCUGAAGAGCGGAGCACAUGUGGAUGUCAUAAACGAAGCACACAAUUGUCCCUUGCAUCUUGCCUGCUCUGGUGGACACGAAGAUGUUGUGAUUGAGAUUUUUGACCAAACCGAAAGACUUUAUGGAUACAGCUCCCUGUCAAAAAUGAUUUGUUCCCAAAACAGAGAAGGUCAAACCCCUUUGCACGUGGCUGUACUUGCAAGUCACUUUCAUAUCAUCAAGAUUCUAUUGGAACGUGGUGCAAGUGUCAAUCAAAUAAUGGCCGAAGGGGAAACUGCAUUGCACAUUGCGGCAGUGACUGGGCACUUGGCAAUUACCCGGUUGCUGCUUUCGCAUGAAGGGAUGAUUGAUGCAAAGAACGACGAGGGCAGAACGCCUCUUCACAAAGCAGCUGCAUUUGGAAAGUCCAAUGUUGUAGAGCUGCUUCUUGAAAGAGGGGCCAGUGUAAACAUUCAAGGACGGUUUAAAGUGACUGCCUUGAUGCUUGCAGCUAGCUCAAACUAUCCUUCAAUUGUGGCCUUACUCUUGCACAAAGAAGCCAACAUUGCAGGGAAGGACUUUGAAGGGAGGACGGCUUUGCACCUUGCAGCCGCGGGAAAUUCAGUGGAAGCAAUUAAGGUUCUUCUUGAAGACAAACGUGCCUCGUCGAUUUUGAACGAACAAGACAAAGAUGGGAACACUGCCCUGCACAUAUCAUGUGUGAAAGGUUUUGAUGAAAUCACGAAGAUCCUCCUUUCAGCUAAUGUUGACGUCACACCGAGAAACAACUUGGAACAAACUCCUGCCCACAUGGCUGCGCUUUUCGGAAGAUCAGACGUUGUGGAAGAUCUUUUGGAAAAGGACGCCUCCACCAUCAAUGACAUUGACAAACAGGGCAAUGCCGCUCUGCACUUAGCUGCGGAAAAAGGGCACACAGGUACAAUUAAGGUGCUUCUAAAUGCUGGCGCAUCUAUCAACGACAGAAACACAGACCUUCUCACUCCUUUGGACUGCGCUGCGAGGGCGGGUCAGAUGGACGCCGCCAAAACACUGUUAAAUGCAAAAGCGUCAGUCGACCCGAUGCAUAAGCAUGGAAUGACGCCAUUGUUACAUGCCAGUAUCCAUGGGCACGGCAAAAUGGUAGAGCUGCUUUUGCAAGUUUGUGAUAUAUCACUCACAGAUCGGAGUGGAAGAAAUUGUUUGGACUUGGCCAUUGAUCACAAUAGAAAAGAUGCAGCGAUGGCCAUAUUAAGUCACAGAGACUGGAAAAUGGCGAUGAGGAACAAAACGAUCGAAGAAAGGACCAUUUCGACGCCGAUGCGAAAGCUGAUAAAAAAGUUGCCUGAGGUGGGCUCCUUCGCAUUGAACCGGUGUCUGCGACAAAGCGAAUCCUUGCCGCCCGACCACCCCGAUUACCACAUUACCCUCGAAUACGAAUUCUUAGAUGACGUAUUCAACGACUGGCCCAUGGAUGCUGUCAGAUUAGACAACGAUGAAGGAAAGGGGCGUGGCGAUUUGCUUACGAGGGAAGAAAUCGCCAGGCAGCUCAGAAAGAAGAAAAAUCAUACUCUGUCCGUUAUGGCUGAGAACAAGCGCGAAGAGUUACUUAGUCAUCCGCUGGUCACCAAUUUGCUGGCUUGGAAAUGGAAUCUAUUUUCUGGACAUUUAUAUUACUUAAAACUAUUUUUAUACUUUGUUUUCUUGUUUUUUCUCACUGGCUACGUUUUGCAUACUGCACCGAUGAGGCAGCCGUUUAGAAACGAAAAUUGUCAAAUCAACAUGAAUAAACUUAAGAACGAUUUUUUUGACAUCAUCUUCAUUAGAAUUGGAACAGUUGUGAUCGUUGGAUUGGCACUUCUUCAUCUCAUUUUCGAGCUCGUGCAAUUAAUUGCCCAGAAGUUGGAUUACAUAUCCUUCGAAAAUGCAAUUGAAAUCCUCGUUUAUUUGCUGGCGAUUGUCAAUGUGUCCGAUGACGUCAUCAGCCUGCCUGUGACCCUUUCAUGCACAGUAUACCAACAGUCAAUUGGUUCAUACGCUGUGUUCCUUUCUUGGAUUAACCUCAUCCUGUUCCUGCGCAAGGUCCCAAAGUUUGGCAUCUACAUCGUGAUGUUUGGAUUCGUUGUCAACACUUUUCUAGAGUUCUUCCUGGUCUUUGUCCUGCUCAUUGUGGCAUUCGCCUUGGGUUUCUAUAUUUUAUUUGCUGAUGCACCUGAUAUUGGAACGUUUCAAACCCCUUGGAAGUCAAUCGUAAAAACUUUGGUGAUGAUGUCCGGCGAACUUGACUUUGGCUCAAUCUUCGAUGGAAGCCAGAAACCUCCUCCAGCUGCAUGGCCAUUAUUCCUGAUGUUUGUUCUAUUAUUGACUAUCAUCCUUAUGAAUUUGCUGGUUGGCUUGGCAGUUGACGACAUUCAAGAAGUACAGAAGCAAGCUGUCCUCAACAGGAUGAAGAUGCAGAUCGAUUUGAUGCUUGAUACAGAGAAAUCUCUGCCAGGCUCUCUGAGAAGAAAGUGCAUUGCCAAAGAUCAAAUUGUCUACCCAAACAGAGGGAGGCGCUGGUUUUCCCAACUGAAACAGAGUGAUAAUUUCAUGAAAGCACUCAAUGAAGCACUUAAGUCUGAAAAGACCAUUUUGGAGGAGCUAAAGCUUCAGACGAUAGAACUUGAAUCGAAAAGUGUAUCUAUGGAAAAGAAGAUUGUCAAAAUUGGUGAGCAGUUUGACAAGUUUGAUAGAAUGGAAGAUCAGCUUAGUGAACUUAAAGGUAUGAUUCUUGAUUUACAAAAGAAAGAAUAAAUAAACUACAAUAUGUUCUGAUAGACUCUAAUAUGUUCUGAUAGAAGAACUGUAGAUUUCUAAUUGGUCGUUUUCCAUGAGAGCAGAUUAACCGUCCCAAAUUUUCAGAACAGCCAUCAUUCGAAUACUUCCCGCGUUCUUCUCGCGUGUUCUCGUACGUAGACCCUAGAUUUUUCUCCAUGGCUUUUGCUGAUAAAUAUUACUUUAAUUGUAUUAAAGAUCACAUUAAGUGUUUUGGUUAGGCUUGCUCGAGGCAGUUUGCCUGCAUCGCUUUAAAUAUUCAGUUUUAUGAUUUACGAAUUAUGAACUAUAAAAGAAUUUAUGAGAAUAUGGAUUAAAUUUGUUCAACUGGUUUCUAGAUAUUGGAUUUAACGUUUCAAAGCAAAUACCAGGGAGUCUUUUCUCCUUUUCUGAUCGCAAGUUUAAAAAAGAUUAAGUCUAAUAUUCAGUCUUCUGUUUAAAAUUUUCAGUUUAAGAUAAAGAUUUUAUAUAUUGUAUUGGCUGUUAAAUUUGGCACUUUUAAAGUUGUAAUAGAUUUAAGGGCAAUCAGAGCGAUUUAACCUAGAUCCUGUGUGUGUGAAUACAUUUUCAAAUGAACAGGCAGAUUGUUUAUGGGUGUUUUAAUAUGCCACCUACACGACAACAAUGAAUCUUUGAAUAGUUUGUAAACACAACGUUUCCCUGUAGACUCAAUAGUUCUUUCGUAUGACCCAUUCUUUUGAAAACGUACAAAUGGAUGUUGUAUGUUUUGCUAACUCGCUUUUUACUUAAAAUUUUAACUUAAAUAAUUGGAUUUCGAUAAAUCAAAUGCGAGCUAACUUUUUGUAUUAAUGAUUAUUCAAAUAGUUGCUUUAAUAUUUUUAAAUCCUAUUUGAUUGACUGAUUAAAAUAUAAUGUAAAAUGCUGCAUAUUUAACGAGAUGCCUUUUUCUCACCUUCACUGCUAAAUUCAAAAAUAAAUUCAAGAUUCUAAACAUUUAAGGCUAAAUUCAUGCACUUUAAAAGAAACCUUGGAAUACCAUUAAAAUAAAACUAAAAAGUAAGCAAUCGAUAAAAAAGAGUGUUGCAGCAAAAGAUAUUGUUGUAGGCUUCACUUCUAUUCACUCCCUCGCACUUAUGUGAUGCCUCUCCUAAAGCUUAGUUUUUGGGUGCGCCACUGCCUAGCAAGGAUUAUUCUUCGUAGCGUUUAUGAACAGUAGACCUUUUGUAUAUAUAACAAUGCAAAUUCUGGUUUCAUGACACCUAACCCGGAUUACAGGCAAACCUUUUUUGUAAGACGCCUCCCAUUGUGUAAUCUCCUUCGUAGUCACUGGUAAUUCCUCUCAAUCCAACGGAAAUCUUUGCGCUACCUCAUCACACUGAUGUCAACUCGAUUAAGUCAGAUUGCACAUAUACAUAAACAAUAUCCUCCAUCAAUCUUAAUAUUGCACCGCUUGAUAUCUGACGAAAAUGAAUGAUAGGAAAUCCAACGUGUUUUAUCCUUCGUUUUUUUAUGAAAAAUACAAAACACGAAGUCAAUCACGCUGUUAAAUCAUAAUAGAAAAUCUGUUUUUAACUUGUGCCAUCACCUUGGCAACCAUCUUGAUCGGCAAAAUGAAUUGACCACGAACCCUGGCUCAAACUGUAGAAGAAUAGAAUAGAUAAGGUGAACAACUUUAUCGUGAAAAUUAUUUCAGUUAGUUCCGAUCAUCUUUGUCUUGAUAUGUAUAAAAUGAGACAUGCUUAUCAAAGCAUAACUAGUUCUGAUGGUCAUAGCAAACAAGGACAAUUACAAUUUUUCGCUGACAUGUAACGAAAGAACGUUCGCGUAAUCUGAAAAGGCAGUUUGAGUUCAAGUUUUAUAAUUCAGUUAUUUCAUUUUGUGGCAAAUUUAAAAAUAGAAAUUAUCAUAAAAUAGAACCCCUGUGAUUCCUUUUUCUUUAUUCAAGGAGGUCAUAUGAACCCCUUGGAUAUGAACCUAGAGUAGCCUGAGAUUAUCAAGAUAUUCUUCAAUCCAAAUUUCCACGUUGAACUUUGUUUGGUCGAUGGAAAGUAAUUCGAAGUAUUGUUGCAUCAAACGAAAUUUCUAUCGUCUUUUUAGUACUAUAAUAAUCAUACUAAGCAUGAACUUCAUGAAUCAUCAUCAGGCAUUAAAAUCACAAGUGAUCAUCAAUCAUAAUCACCUGCAUCGAUCAUCAUCGUCAAUAUCAGUCAUCAUUAAUCACAAAUCAAUACAAUCAUCACCAUCAUUGUGUAAGUUGAAGCCGCUUAAAGGCGCAAUCAAGAUGCUUCGCAGUUGCUGUUCAAUUUACUAAGUAUUAGUCCGGUUUUGAAAAUAUAUUCGCAAAGCAUGCCGGUUGCACAAGAGCCUGCAAAUCGAAAGCCUCUAUUUAAAAGUGAAAUUUAGGCCCUUUUUUCUUUUUCUUUGGGCUGUUUUUCACUGUUAGCUUUAAGUGUAAGCUAUGCAUUGCCUAACUCCUAGAGAUAUUGCUAGUUUUUUAUGAUAAUACUGUUUGCAAAGUUUUCUGUAUUUUGCAUGGUUACUCCGUGUAGUUGCUGGUAGAUAUAUUUAAUGAACCCCAUUGAUAAAGCAACGGGUCAUCCUUCUGUGCGAUUGGCCACGUAUAUGUCUCGCGUGCCCAACGCUACUUUCUUUAACUAAGCUGCUUUCGUCACAAGCUGAAAGAUGUAAUUCGAACACAUUUGUAAAGCACGCACGGUAGCGUGAUGUGUGAUUUUGAAUCCGAUACACGUUUCAACCCUUCAACCUAGGAGCAGUAAUGUUUUUUUCAAGCGCCUUGAAGUUAAUGCUAAAAAAGCCAGAUUCGCUGCUGUAACAUUGGAUCCUUCCGAAGAUAGGUACCGACAACUUUAACAGUAUUUCACUGAAAAGAAGCUUUCGGGAAUAGCACUAAGCAGCUUAUUUCUCCAUUUAAGAUUGGCGAAUCAAUGAAGAAGCGUUUAGCAUUCGAAAUUAUCUAUCAAUACCUUUCUGAUGCGUUUAAGCGUCAGUUGAAAUUUUAAGUUGCAAUGAUUUGUUGUUUUGCCGUUUCACGACGUGCUAGGGUACAAUCAUUUACGAUCUGAAGCAAUCCUUGUUUACUAACCUUGAGUUUUAUACCAGGGCGGUAGUAGAGAGAGCAAGGGGCCUGUCCCUAAAUAUUCUAGGGGGUCCCCAAAGGAAAAUUUUGCAGAUCAAGGAAUGAAUAUUCUUAGUGUAUACAGUGCAGAUGUACUGAGUUCGAAAAUGAGCGCAUGUUGCCUCUUAACCCUCUCUCCCGUGACUGCGUUGGUUUCUACAUGUUUGGAAAUUAUUCCUGUGCAUUAUUUUUAAGAUCGUAAUGCGUUAUGAUAAAAUUUAUCCCCCCCCUCCCCAAUAUCAAAAUCUUAACUACCCUUAUGUAUACUUUAUGAGUAAAUGCCGUUACGCAGCCCCUUACUUUGCUGACAACACACGGGAAGCCUUGGAAUGCCGAGAGCUUUUCUGGGGCCAGGGGAAAAAGAAAGAUGGCGCCCGUUAUGACAAGUGUGAUUGUCAUUGUUCUUGUUAUUGUUGGGCACUUUGAUAUAAAAUUUAGGCCUCUCUCAGCUCGGGGCCUUUGGGCAGUCUGCCCCCUGACCUCCCUUUUCGGCUUGGGGAAACCUACCUUUUUCCUGCUGUUUUUAACCCUGUGACAGGUUUUGCCUUAAGCUUGUCGAAUAGUUUUUUUCUUCCUAUGUCAUAUCUUAAAGCAAUUACAAGGUUCAAACUUGUGCGUACUAAGGUGUUUCAACCACCAUAAUUGAUAGUGUCAUUGAAAAAGUUCUGUUUCUCAAUGAAUUGGGUGCAUGACUAAGAUUUUGGCUUUAACGGUUUCUGAAGCAAUCAUGUUAAGAAAUGACAUUGCACAAUCUCUGUAUUUAUACAGCAAAAUUUGAAUGAAAAUAUCUUGUUGCUUUGCAACGGGUGAUGCAAAGGAAGGAGAAAUUCGCUUGUUUGCCCACCUUGCGUGAAAUUUUGUACUUUGCUCAUUAAUUUUUCAUCUGUUACACCAAAGUUGGCCUAAUUCUGUCCUUCUGUUUACAGCCUCAAACAGGUUUCGUUCACGUGGCUCGAACCAUGCUCAUUAAAUACGUGACUUGAGCUUACGCUUAAAAUUCAAACGAUGUUCUAUAAGCAGUUUACUAGGUCGCGCAUUUUUUGAGUGGAAUUUAGGAGUUCUGACCUGAACAUUAUUUUGCAUAGCAGGCGGAACUUUCUUAUGGGAUUGACCCGACGGAGUAUUCUUUAGCUAACUACAAAACUGGAUUAUUAGCUUUUUUGAUAAACUGGGGCAUGGGGGAGGGAGGGGGAGGAUCAUGGAAAAGGAAAUAUAGCAAACAUAGCAAUUUAUUUUGUUUUCCUCUUCAGAUACAUAUAGAACACUCGGAAUAGAGAAAUAAGAGAUAAUUCAUUUGUGUUAAAUACAAAAUUACAAGCAUUGAAUGAUUAUACCAAAAUAAUACAAUAUUUAAAUCAUAAAAUGGUUAUACCAUAACUGGAUCGAUGCUCUAAUUAUUUCGACUUUCAUAUUUUACGUCAAUGAUAAUGUGGUAGGUUACGAGAAUAAAAUAUUGGACAGCUAAACAAACAUAAUAAAGUUACACAACAAAGGUGAGAGUACAGGGACGUCCUAAAUGGAGCUAUCAUUUCUGUAUUAUACACAAUGUACACAUCUGCAUUUAUAUAAUAAAUAUUUAUCAACAAACGAUCUAAAAGAUCGGUCCAAAACGGUUUUGGAUGUCAGGUGCAAAUACCCCAUUGGCGUUCAUAUUUCCUGGACUUGGCUGAAAAAAUGAUAAUAGUUCUUAGAAACGAUUUUGAUCUCCAGUAAAAUCGAGGAAGGAACUUAUUGAUGUGGAAUCAAAAAUUAUUCUGAAGCUUGCUGGAUGGCUGUGUUAAAAAAUCUUUUUUUACACAUAGCUGCUAAGCCAAUGUAAUCACGAGAUCGCCAAAGUUUAUGUGAUGUUGUGAUGGAAAAAGAAACGAACAGACCCUCAAAUGCCACGUAUUUCUCCAUCCAUUCUACUUUACUAAGUAGACGGAGCUUUCCAUACAACUAAGAGCAUACUUAAAUACUAAUCGAUAAAUACAAUUAGUUAUUAACCCCAGUCGUAAGCUUUGCCUUUCGUUAACACCAUACAAAGUAGCAACAUUUGUCCCACGGUAGGAUUUUUGAUGCUCGAUGAAGAAUUUUUCACUGGUGAAAUAACAUCAUAAAGAGGGACGUUGGUCAUGCACGAAUGCAAGGUUUGCUUCACCUCUGCAAUAGGUAUGAGUUUGCAGGUUAUUGCAAGCAGAUCAGAUGCCUCGUCACACCAGAUGCCUCGUCACACCAGAUCUUUAAUUAUUAUCCUAAGGUCAGGCAAAUCUUUCUUGCUCGUUGCUCCAAGUUCGAUUGCUAACAAAACGAGUAUUCGAUCAUCAAGAAAAUCGGUGUCAUUGUUCCCAAGGAUGCAUUCGCUUGCCACUUGUUGCUUUUCCACAAUACAGUUCCAAGAAUUUGUGACCCUGAAGGCCUGAGGACGAGUUUGGGGGUAAGCCGCCUGCGUAUACGGGUAGAAAUGGACAAACUGCCUCUGCAAAGGAUGUAUCUGUCCUUGGUUGGCCAUGUGAAAAGACAUCGUUUUCUUUGUUUCAACAAUAAACUUGCUAAAUAAGAGCCUCGAGUCUACUAUACACCUCGCGACUCCUUUUUACCUUGCACUUGUCAAAAAAUUCUGUUAUAUCAGCUCUCUUCUCUGAAUCUAACCACUUAAUUGCUUGUUUCCAACUUGUGGGCUAAAUCUCCUUUUUGUGUUUUAAAGCAAGCCAAGCUAUUCCUUCGCUAAAACUGGUUUUUCCAGAAUUUCCAAUCGGCUAGGAACAAGAUAUUGAUUAUUGUUUUACACUGUCCCUUCGAUUGACAGUAUACAAACCUUCGCUCAAGCAACGAUUUUGCGUUCUGUUCUUUUCCCACAAAAGGAGCAAGUACUUGAUGCACUCAAUCAGCUUCAAUGAAAGUGAAAGAAAACUCUUAGAAAUCCGUCCAAUAAAUUAUAAUCUCUAGAUUUAAUUAUCCAUAGAUUCCAUUGUUAUGAACCAAUACUCUGCUCCCUGCUACUGUUGCCAUUCAAAAAGCUUUAUUGUUUCCAAAAGUUUCGAACGCCACAGACUACACAAAACUGAUUCCAACUUAUCUCAACGCACAUGUGUUUCAACUGGCAACGUCUGCACAUAUGAAAAACAGUAUGCUUUUAACACUGAACACUGGCUUCUACAGAUCGCGUAGAAAAAGACGACGAAUUAUUUACGCAAUCCAGUGACGUAAAGGCUCGUAUUAAACAUAGCUCUGUUGGUCCUGCCCUGCGGAUUGACAUGAAAGCAGUUUAAAUUGCAACAAAGAAAAAUAUCACAGAAGCCAUUGGACUUGUGUCUGGUGCCAUAUGUCAGGCUGAGCCCAAAAUGUUCACACACAGUAAG